GGCCUCGUGGCCCAAUGGCAAGGCGUCUGACUACGAUAGGAAUUCUACAAAAAUCCUUUAAAAAUCAGGAGAUUCUGGGUUCGACCCCCAGCGAGGUCA